GACGAACGCUGGCGGCUGUGCUUAACACAUGCAAGUCGAACGGAAAGGCCCUGCUUUUGUGGGGUGCUCGAGUGGCGAACGGGUGAGUAACACGUGAGUAACCUGCCCUUGACUUUGGGAUAACUUCAGGAAACUGGGGCUAAUACCGGAUAGGAGCUCCUGCUGCAUGGUGGGGGUUGGAAAGUUUCGGCGGUUGGGGAUGGACUCGCGGCUUAUCAGCUUGUUGGUGGGGUAGUGGCUUACCAAGGCUUUGACGGGUAGCCGGCCUGAGAGGGUGACCGGCCACAUUGGGACUGAGAUACGGCCCAUACUCCUACGGGAGGCAGCAGUGGGGAAUAUUGCACAAUGGGCGGAAGCCUGAUGCAGCAACGCCGCGUGCGGGAUGACGGCCUUCGGGUUGUAAACCGCUUUCGCCUGUGACGAAGCGUGAGUGACGGUAAUGGGUAAAGAAGCGCCGGCUAACUACGUGCCAGCAGCCGCGGUGAUACGUAGGGUGCGAGCGUUGUCCGGAUUUAUUGGGCGUAAAGGGCUCGUAGGUGGUUGAUCGCGUCGGAAGUUGUAAUCUUGGGGCUUAACCCUGAGCGUGCUUUCGAUACGGGUUGACUUGAGGAAGGUAGGGGAGAAUGGAAUUCCUGGUGGAGCGGUGGAAUGCGCAGAUAUCAGGAGGAACACCAGUGGCGAAGGCGGUUCUCUGGGCCUUUCCUGACGCUGAGGAGCGAAAGCGUGGGGAGCGAACAGGCUUAGAUACCCUGGUAGUCCACGCUGUAAACGGUGGGUACUAGGUGUGGGGUCCAUUCCACGGGUUCCGUGCCGUAGCUAACGCUUUAAGUACCCCGCCUGGGGAGUACGGCCGCAAGGCUAAAACUCAAAGGAAUUGACGGGGCCCCGCACAAGCGGCGGAGCAUGCGGAUUAAUUCGAUGCAACGCGUAGAACCUUACCUGGGUUUGACAUGGAUCGGGAGUGCUCAGAGAUGGGUGUGCCUCUUUUGGGGUCGGUUCACAGGUGGUGCAUGGCUGUCGUCAGCUCGUGUCGUGAGAUGUUGGGUUAAGUCCCGCAACGAGCGCAACCCUUGUUCACUGUUGCCAGCACGUUAUGGUGGGGACUCAGUGGAGACCGCCGGGGUCAACUCGGAGGAAGGUGGGGAUGACGUCAAGUCAUCAUGCCCCUUAUGUCCAGGGCUUCACGCAUGCUACAAUGGCUGGUACAGAGAGUGGCGAGCCUGUGAGGGUGAGCGAAUCUCGGAAAGCCGGUCUCAGUUCGGAUUGGGGUCUGCAACUCGACCUCAUGAAGUCGGAGUCGCUAGUAAUCGCAGAUCAGCAACGCUGCGGUGAAUACGUUCCCGGG
rnacentral:rRNA from 1 species